rnacentral:rRNA from 1 species
UACGUAGGUGACAAGCGUUUAUCCGGAAUUACUGGGCGUAAAGCGCACGCAGGCGGCGCGGGUAAGUCUGAUGUGAAAUCUCCCGGCUUAACUGGGAGGGGUCAUUGGAAACUGCCGAGCUUGAGGCGAUGAGAGGGGUGUAGAAUUCCCGGUGUAGUGGUGGAAUGCGUAGAUAUCGGGAGGAAUACCAGUGGCGAAAAGCGGCACCCUGGCAUUUAGCCUGACGCUCAUGUGCGGAAGGCGUGGGGAGCGAACGGGG